UUAUGGGUCUGACUCAAAGCCCAGGGGAAACAAUGAGAGUCUUUCCAUGGACUUCAGUGGGCUUUGGAUCAGGAUUUAA
rnacentral:miRNA from 1 species